AGCAGCCGCGGUAAUUCCAGCUCCAAUAGCGUAUAUUAAAGUUGUUGCGGUUAAAAAGCUCGUAGUUGAAUUUCGGGGUUAGUAGGUUGGUCAUGCCUCUGGUAUGUACUGGUCUCACUGAUUCCUCCUUCCUGAUGAACCUUAAUGCCAUUAAUUUGGUGUUUUGGGGAAUUUGGACUGUUACUUUGAAAAAAUUGAGUGUUUAAAGCAAGCUAACGCUUGAAUACAUUAGCAUGGAAUAAUGAAAUAGGACGUUCGAUCCUAUUUUGUUGGUUUCUAGGAUUGACGUAAUGAUUAAUAGGGAUAGUUGGGGGCAUUAGUAUUCAAUCGUCAGAGGUGAAAUUCUUGGAUUUUAUUGAAGACUAACUACUGCGAAAGCAUUUGCCAAGGAUAUUUUCAUAAUUUUCAAGAACGAAAGUUAGGGGAUCGAAGACGAUCAGAUACCGUCGUAGUCUUAACCAUAAACCUAUGCCGACUAGGGAUCGGGAUGGAUUGUUAAUUUUUUAAUGUACUCUAUUCG
rnacentral:rRNA from 1 species